CGGUCGAUUUCUUUCUCGACUCGCGUAUACAUCUAGCGUCAUCUCUCGCGAGUACCUUUCUGUCCGACCAAUCCACGAGUUCCAAAAGGAAAGCUCACAUCGAGCGAGCACCGUCGACCAAUCGGAGCCCUCGAAAAAUUUGCCUAGGAAUUUUUCCGUCUCGAAGUAUCCAGUACCGAGUUAACCUUCGAUCGACUCGCCUUUAACCUCUUCGUCGAAGCAACAUUUUUUGACUUUAUCCAUCGAAUCGUUCGAGGAAUCAACGAUGACUCUAUUUGCGAAAGUUUAUAGCGUUUUUAUGAUAAAUUGGUUCGUACACUUGUAUGUGACCGAUUUUGAAAACGGGAAACAUCAUUUCUUCGGUUUCAAUCCAGUAUGGCCGACGGAUGGAAGAGCGGAUAGAAUCGAUCCCAAAACGUGGACCGGUUAGGACGGCAUCGAAUGGAUAUGCUUGUGAUAAUAGACUUUGUCGUCCAAUCCGUAGAAUUACAUCUAUUUGUCAAGUAGAUACGACCCGUAUGGAAAUGUAACGAGGAUAAGCUUCGAAUAAAGUGGAUUCCGUCGUUAUAAACCGUA